CACUGGUGGAUCACAAAGGACAUUUCACCAACAUCAGCGUGGGAUGGCUGGGAAAGGUUCAUGAUGCUGACAUCUUUAAGAACUCUGGUCUGUGUGAACUGCUGCAGCAAGGGACUUACCUUCCAGACCAGAAAAUAACCAUUGGGGAUGUUGAAAUGCCUAUAGUUAUCCUUGGGGACCCAGCCUUCCCCUUAAUUCCAUGGCUUAUGAAGCCAUACACAAGCACCCUGGACAGUGGUCAGAAUAUGUUUAUCUACAGGCUG